rnacentral:misc_RNA from 1 species
AUCACACAGAGACAAUGCUUCCACAAGUUGUUGGGAGUCCAAUAUGUUCUGUGACUCUCCUUCCCACCAUUUUGGUUCUUCCUCGAUGUCAUUGUCAUUAUCGUCAAUUACUUCAUUGGAGCAACCAUCUGGCUUGAUCAUAUCGUGUUUGUCUGACUUCUCAAAUUCAGGUGGAACCUCAGCAAGGGCACUUGUGGAAGUGAUAACAGAAUCCUGUUCCGG